rnacentral:lncRNA from 1 species
CAAUUUAACCUGACGGAAGUAGAGGAAAAAUCACCGGUCGGAUUAAGCUGCCAAAUGAUGCUGUCACAAUUGGAAUUUGGAAGAAAGCUGAAAAGAUGGCAUGCAACUGAACGGAUUCUUUGCAUGCUACUGGAGGAAGUAUAAAACCACAUUUGAGAUUCUAUAUCUGGCACCUGAGAUUAAAAAAUUUAUCAGCAAUGCCAGAUUUAAGAUGGCGAGCCCGAUAAAGGUGGGGGGAAUAAUUCGUCUGGAAACGGGCCGGGAUGGUCCGGGCUGUAGGCUAGGCUUGGUCCCGCAAACUUUUGAAAAUUUCUGGUCUGAGCCUCGGCUUGGUCCCAACUUGAAUCCGAUCAGGCCCAGCCUGAAAUAUCUGUAUGGGCUCAAAAUUGAGCUGUGUUUUUUUGAUAAAAUAAUAUAGCUU